AGCGAACGCUGGCGGCAGGCCUAACACAUGCAAGUCGAAUGAACCCUUCGGGGUUAGUGGCGGACGGGUGAGUAACACGUGGGAACGUGCGUUUAGGUUCGGAAUAACUCAGGGAAACUUGUGCUAAUACCGAAUGUGCCCUUCGGGGGAAAGAUUUAUCGCCUUUAGAGCUGCCUGCGUCUGAUUAGCUAGUGGGUGAGGUAAAGGCUCACCAAGGCUACGAUCAGUAGCUGGUCUGAGAGGAUGACCAGCCACAUUGGGACUGAGACACGGCCCAAACUCCUACGUGAAGCAGCAGUGGGGUAUCUUGCGCAAUGGGCGAAAGCCUGACGCAGCCAUGCCGCGUGGAUGAUUAAGGUCUUAGGAUUGUAAAAUCCUUUCACCGGUGAAGAUAAUGACUGUAGCCGGAGAAGAAGCCCCGGCUAACUUCGUGCCAGCCGCCGCGGUAACAC
rnacentral:rRNA from 1 species